rnacentral:lncRNA from 1 species
AUGGUGGUAAGAUGUAGAUCUGCUGCUGAUACCAACACAAAAACAGCAACAGCGACCACCUCCUUGCCCAGCGUUCUCGUUGUGCCCCGAUGUCUUGUUUCAACCCUAAAGAAGACUUUACCACUUCGCCAACAGCACUGUUUUCUGCUGUCCUGUGAAACUGUCACUAAAACCAUCAGACUCAGCUGCUUCCCUCCGUCCUGGAAAUACAACAGCGAAAACACCAAACGCGUCCUGACUGCGCCGAUGUGGCACUGCCCUCUGCUGUCGGUGGCUCCGAGGACACCGGCCAAGGCCACCGUGCUGAGCAGAAGCACCCGGCUUUCCCCCCCCCCCAGGAACCACCGCAGGACCUGGAAAACCACAACACAGUCCUGGAAGGAUGCAGCACCCAGCACCGGUGCGUGGUCCCCCAGCACUGCAUCCACGGCGACUUCAGCAUCCUUAGCCUUCCUCUUUCUGCUGAAAGCAGAAGCGUUGACUAUUUUCGGUGCUGUCUCACUUCGGAAAGAGUCACGCACGUCCCGGUGCAUCGCCCCGACCUGCUGCAGGCAGAAGGAAAUGAGUAAGGCCGAGGGCUGCGCUGCCGUUCCAGGAACCGUCCCUACACCUCUGCCUGGAGGAACUGGAGUUUCCUUCCCCUCUCCCCAUGCGGGCACCCCAGCUUCUGAGGGAUGUGCACAAAGGGUGACUCUUAGACUUUUCCAGCAGGGAAACACUCAGGCAAAGCCUCCUGAUGCUAUAUAUAUAACCACGCUCAUCCUCCCCUCCUAUACUGCUGUUACUAUGUCCUAUGUAUGGACAAGCUAUGGUGGGAGCAUGGGGACACCCCUUGUGACCCCAGAUCUGGUCGCUGUCUCCCUGACUCUCCUUGAGGAAAGGCCUCUAGAUGGGGCUUUAAUGCAAUAUUGCUGUCUGCUGAGCUCAAGAGUCGUUCCCCAUCCAGAACCCGCACAGGGGCCACUUUGCCUUGAGCAUCACAAUAAGGGGGCUGAGAUAUCCCCAUGCCCUAGGGCACCAUGCAGAUCCAACGGAGCAAUGCUCCUGCCAGCAUGGCUUGCACCCGUUGGGGUGCUGAGCUGCACUGGGACACCUCAAACCCAGCGUACGGAUGCGCAGCGUUUGGCGUGGUGCACGACAAGCUGCUGCUCCAGGUUAUCCGAGGGUCUGUCCAGCAUCCGAGUGUCACCUGCUGGGCACAGCCCUGCUCAGGGUUCCGUGGCUCUGAGCGGAGGACCUGGUGCCAAGCACCUGCGUCCCCCCCCCUGCUUCCAUGCCCACCCCUGUGUGGACACGGGGCGGCUCAGCAGUGUGACACACACACACACAUGCGCACGCUGGGGAGGGAAACCUUUUUGUUCUCAGCUGGUGGCAGGUGCCGGAGGUGCUCUAAGCGUGAGCUGA